rnacentral:rRNA from 1 species
UUGAUAGACUUGGCAUCCGCAGGCAUUGCCCUUGUUCGAAAUAGAGAGUCCGAUAUAGGGCGUCCUGUAACAGGAAUUGGCGGGGGAGCACAGGCCUGGGCAAGACCGGUGCCCGCCCCCGGGGUUAUACCCGCAGCCUUAUUGAUGGCCGAUGUUAUUGGGCCUAAAGCGUCCGUAACUUGCCGCCAAGUCCGUUGGGAAAUCCACCCGCUCAACUGGUGGGCUUUCGGGGGAAACUGUCCGGCUUGGGGCCGGAAAGGCCAAGGGGUACCUCCGGGGUAGGAGUGAAAUCCCGUAAUCCUGGACGGACCCCCAAUGGGGAAACCACUUUUGAAAAACGGGCGGGGGCGGGGAGGGACCAAAGCUUGGGUCUCAACCCGGAUUAAAAUCCCGGGUAGUCCUAGCCGUAAACAAUGCCUGUUAGGUUGGGCACCCGCUACGAACCUGUCCUUUGCCCUAGGGAAACCCAUAAACCAGCCCCCUGGGAAGUCCCUUUGCCAGGAUUAAACUUAAAGGAAUUGGCGGGGGAACCCAA